UCUAAACAUGUUCCAGGUUCAAACCAGCACAUCCUUCCCACUGUCUAUAAAGCCCACUAAUGAAGAAGCCCUGGGAACAGAGCGGGGUCAAAGUGUUUGUUACCGAACUUAUUGCGGCAGCACAGAGCGCACGUGACAGGAACUUCCUACGGAAGUGGCCUGUGUGGGCAGAGUCUGAGGAAGACGGAACCAGGAACCUGGGGUGGGCUGGCGGCUGUCGAGAGGGAUGUGUUUGUGUGCUGUAAAUCAUCGUCCCAUUCAGUGUAUUUGCCUGGGACUUGGUUUUCUGUGUUGACAACAUAAAAUGAAGCUGACUUCUAGCGCUACAAUAUUUCACUGUGAUCUGAGCCUCCCAAAGAUGAAACCUGGAAAAUACAAAUUUAAAAGGCACCUCAUAUAAACUGUACUGUUAUUUUAAUCAGCACUUCUAUUCACUUUCUUUUUCUUUUUUUAUUUACCAGCUUUCCUUCUGAUUGUAUCAUAAUAACUGUCUAGACACUGUUCCCAACUGUGAUGGAUUUUAAGAGACUGUACAAAUGAGGCCAGAAAAAAAUAAAUUAGCAGUACUGUGCACUAAAGUGCCUCCGUUUAAAGCACUAUGAAUAGAAAAAGCACUGACCACUUACAUAUCAGCUAAGAUAGCCUACUAUCUAUUUAUUUUCUUCAAGGUUGUGAUUAGAAAGUUCUUAUCCAACUUGCUGUCCAAAGGUAUAAUAA
ensembl:lncRNA